rnacentral:rRNA from 1 species
AUGGCAUCGAAGCUCCAGAUUUUUCUCCCUAUCCAUCUUUAUCUUGUCAGCUUAUACACCAAAUCGAUGCCCUGUGCCACCUCCGUUGCCAUAAGUAGCCACCUCCGCUCUCAUAUCAAGGCAUCUCCACACUCACUCAUCCCUUGGAGAAUCCAUACAGUAGACAAUUUGCUCAGCCUUCCAAUGGCAACCACCACCAUGUCCCUCUCCUCCUCGACCUUUGCCAGCAAGGCGGUGAAGAACGUGUCGUCAUCGGCUCUCUUCGGCGAGGCCCGCGUCACCAUGCGCAAAACUGCAGCGAAGGCAAAGCAGGUUUCCUCUGGCAGCCCAUGGUACGGUGCCGACCGUGUGUUGUACCUCGGCCCACUCUCCGGUGAGCCCCCGAGCUACCUCACCGGUGAGUUCCCUGGCGAUUAUGGUUGGGACACUGCCGGACUUUCGGCUGACCCGGAGACCUUCUCCAAGAACCGGGAGCUGGAGGUGAUCCACUGUCGUUGGGCCAUGCUUGGGGCACUUGGUUGCGUCUUCCCUGAGUUGCUCGCCCGCAACGGCGUCAAGUUUGGCGAGGCCGUUUGGUUCAAGGCCGGCUCCCAGAUCUUUAGUGAGGGUGGUCUCGACUACCUCGGCAACCCCAGCCUUGUGCACGCGCAAAGCAUCCUAGCUAUUUGGGCAUGCCAAGUCGUGCUCAUGGGUGCUGUCGAGGGGUACCGGGUUGCCGGCGGCCCACUUGGCGAGAUCGUCGACCCACUAUAUCCAGGAGGCAGCUUUGACCCUCUCGGCCUAGCCGAUGACCCCGAGGCAUUCGCCGAGCUCAAGGUGAAGGAGAUCAAGAACGGUCGCCUCGCCAUGUUCUCAAUGUUCGGCUUCUUUGUCCAAGCUAUCGUCACGGGCAAGGGACCACUUGAGAACCUCGCUGACCACAUCGCUGACCCCGUCAACAACAACGCCUGGGCAUUCGCCACCAACUUUGUCCCCGGCAAGUAA